UCCCAGGGCGCGCCGCCUGGGACGUUUUGGGGCGCGGAGCCCGCGGAGCAGCCGCAAUGGCCAGCACCAGGAGUAUCGAGCUGGAGCACUUUGAGGAACGGGACAAAAGGCCGCGGCCGGGGUCGCGGCGAGGGGCGCCCAGCUCCUCCGGGGGCAGCAGCAGCUCGGGCCCCAAGGGGAACGGGCUGAUCCCCAGCCCGGCGCACAGCGCCCACUGCAGCUUCUACCGCACGCGCACCCUGCAGGCCCUGAGCUCGGAGAAGAAGGCCAAGAAGGCGCGCUUCUACCGGAACGGGGACCGCUACUUCAAGGGCCUGGUGUUGGCCAUCUCCGCCGACCGCUUCCGCUCCUUCGACGCGCUGCUCGUCGAGCUCACCCGCUCGCUGUCGGACAACGUGAACCUGCCCCAGGGUGUCCGCACCAUCUACUCCAUCGACGGCAGCAGGAAGGUCACCAGCCUGGAGGAGCUGCUGGAAGGUGAGAGUUAUGUGUGUGCAUCGAAUGAACCAUUUCGUAAAGUUGAUUACACCAAAAAUAUUAAUCCAAACUGGUCUGUGAACGUCAAGGGUGGAAGCACCCGGGCCUUGGCUGCUGCCUCCUCAGUGAAAAGUGAAGUGAAAGAAAGUAAAGAUUUCAUCAAACCCAAGUUAGUGACUGUGAUUCGAAGUGGAGUGAAGCCCAGAAAAGCCGUGCGGAUCCUUCUGAAUAAGAAGACUGCUCAUUCCUUUGAACAAGUCUUAACAGAUAUCACUGAAGCCAUUAAACUAGACUCAGGAGUGGUCAAGAGGCUCUGCACACUGGAUGGCAAGCAGGUUACUUGUCUGCAAGACUUUUUUGGUGAUGAUGAUGUUUUUAUUGCAUGUGGACCUGAAAAAUUCCGUUAUGCCCAAGAUGACUUUGUCCUGGAUCACAGUGAAUGCCGUGUCUUGAAGUCAUCUUAUUCUCGCUCCUCAACUGUUAAAUAUUCUGGAUCCAAAAGCCCUGGAACCUCUCGACGCAGCAAAUCACCAGCUUCAGUUAAUGGAACCCCAAGCAGCCAGCUUUCUACUCCUAAAUCUACGAAAUCCUCCAGUUCUUCUCCAACUAGCCCAGGAAGUUUCAGAGGAUUAAAGCAGAUUUCUGCGCAUGGCAGAUCUUCUUCCACUGUGAACGGUGGACCUGAACUUGACCGUUGCAUGAGUCCUGAAGGUGUGAAUGGAAACAGGUGCUCGGAAUCAUCAACUCUGCUUGAGAAAUAUAAGAUUGGCAAGGUUAUUGGUGAUGGCAACUUUGCAGUAGUCAAGGAGUGCAUGGACCGGUCUACUGGAAAGGAGUUUGCCCUAAAGAUUAUAGACAAAGCCAAGUGCUGUGGAAAGGAGCACUUGAUUGAGAAUGAAGUGUCAAUACUGCGUCGUGUGAAGCACCCGAAUAUCAUCAUGCUGGUCGAAGAGAUGGAGACCACCACGGAGCUCUUCCUGGUGAUGGAGUUGGUCAAGGGUGGAGAUCUCUUUGAUGCAAUUACCUCUUCAACCAAGUACACCGAGAGGGACGGCAGUGCCAUGGUGUACAACCUGGCCAAUGCCCUCAGAUAUCUCCAUGGCCUCAGCAUUGUGCACAGAGAUAUCAAGCCCGAGAACCUCUUGGUGUGUGAAUAUCCUGAUGGAACCAAGUCUUUGAAGCUGGGAGACUUUGGACUGGCUACCGUGGUGGAAGGCCCUUUGUACACGGUCUGUGGCACCCCGACUUACGUGGCCCCGGAAAUCAUUGCUGAAACUGGCUAUGGCCUGAAGGUGGACAUUUGGGCAGCAGGUGUGAUCACGUACAUACUGCUCUGUGGAUUCCCACCAUUCAGAAGUGAGAACAAUCUCCAGGAAGAUCUCUUCGACCAGAUCUUGGCUGGGAAGCUGGAGUUUCCAGCCCCCUACUGGGAUAACAUCACAGAUUCAGCAAAGGAAUUAAUCAGUCAGAUGCUUCAGGUAAAUGCUGAAGCCCGAUGUACCGCAGGACAGAUCCUGAGUCACCCUUGGGUGUCAGAUGAUGCCUCCCAGGAGAAUAAUAUGCAAGCAGAAGUAACAGGUAAACUCAAACAGCACUUUAACACUGCGCUCCCCAAACAGAACAGCACCACUACCGGGGUGUCCGUUAUCAUGGUAAGUGGGACGCGGGCUUCUGCUGUGGGAAAGCUCAGUGUCUGGCCUGCCUGCUCAGAUGGCGUUUGACUUUUGGAAGUAAACAGCCCAGAGCUUCCCUCACAUGGAAGUUGCCACCUUCCAUGUUUCUCUUUUCACUUCAAGAUGGGCUUGGCACGUGCAGUGCACCUGCUGGCUGACCAGCGUUGAGUGUCGGGGUGGAGGUUGUGCAGGUACCUGCAAGGCAAUCUGAUGGUGGCCCAGGCACCGGAGCCCUGUGCGUGGCUCCCUUCCGGGCAGCCGUCUCUGCUCUUGUCCCUGCUGCUCAUCUGGAGGAUUCCCAGGCCUGGGUGGGGCUUACAGCAGAAGGAAGAGACUCCCCUCCUGCCUGCUCAGGGCUUCAAAUGCAGAUUAUACGAGGCAGGAAUUAGUCUUGGGAAAGUGGGAUUUAAAAAGUCAAGGGUAAACACAUGCCAGUAAAAAAUAAGGGCUCUGUGACUUUUAAAAUACGGGACAAUGUAAAGCAUCAGUUUUCUCGAGUCGGUGAAAUGUUUAGAGAAGUCAGGAAUGUUAUCCCCGUCAUUUUCCAGCCCUCCCUCCUUCCAAAAUAUGUGCAAAGCAGCUCAUUUAAACCCGUAAAAGGAGCAAGUUGAAAGUGUAACAUUAAAGUACGUGAAGAAGCAUUGAGAAAAGUUUAGCAAAGGGAAAAUGAUGGUAGGAAGAACAAAGCCAGAAGUAAGGUCAGGAUGCCAGCACAGCCGGACGUGGGGCCUUAACUCCUGCCCGGAGCAUCCCCACCUGUCAGGGUGCCUGGUUCAGAGCAGCCAGCAUCUGGGGCGCGGGCUUCCAUUCCGCCCACGGGGGCAGGUUCCUUCUCCAGAGCCGGAGCUCUGGCUAAGCGGCUUCCCAGUCCCGCCCUGAGUAGAGGGGUGUGGGGCUGACGGGGGCCUGGUCCCCCGGGCUCUGUGGAGUCCUAGCAGCACUUCAGGCCAACAGGGAGCCUGAUGCCUGUGACGGGCCAUCUCAUCGCCUGCCACUCUCCCCAGGGCCGCUGCCCCUCUGCAGAGGCUCCAUUUGUUUCCCAUCCAACCAGAAGGACACUGGCAUGUGGUCUGGGAGCCUCACCUAAGACGCAGGGUCUACAGGGACACUGGAGGGAGCCCUUCCCCUUGGGAACUCCAGAAGCUGCGGGGUGUGUGGCGAGCAUCUGCCCCAGAGCCGCUGGCCCUGCUCCCCGCUGCCCUCAGGGAGCCGCACUUGUUGGGCCCCUCUGUGUGUCCUCACAGCACCCUCGGUCCUCCCCUGCUGAGAAGUGCUCCCCGCCCCUGGCCUUCCCCAGACAGGGCUUGCAGGGCCUCUUGACAUGUUGCAGGACUGGGGAUGCUCUGUGCCAGAGCGAUGGGGAGGCGCUCGAGGUGUGGUUUUCCUAGAGUCUCAGCAGUGUCUUGCUGAAAGCCUGGGAACAGCAGCGCUGUCACAGGAUUGCGGCCAAAACGCUUUGAGAAGAACCAUCUUGAUGAAACCAACAGCAUAACGUUUUCAAGCAAUUCAAGGAGGAGAGUGAGCGCCGAUGGUUGGGGUCAGGAGUCCUGGCCUUGCUCGUUGCAAGGCAGCUUCUAGGAAAAAUGAGGGGGAAAAAAAAAACACAUAAAAAUUGGCACACUGGAAAUAAUGAAAGACCUGAAAGACCUUAAGAGUGAUUUUCUAGAAUGUAAAUUUGAUAACUGUGUUAGGCGAGCUUCAGUCUCCUGGAGGGGACACCCUUCCAUGGGGAUGGCCUGGGGCUCUGUCAUCUCAGGACCCAGAUAGGAGUCGAUUGCCCAGGACCUGUGAGUGGCCACGGUUCUGGAACAAUCCAGCCCUUGUCCCUGUGACCCAGAAAAGGUUCUGUUCUGGAUAAAGGUUCUGUUGAGAGCCCCUCAGCCGAAACCUAUGCUGUACAAUUUCCAAAUGGCAUUUUCCCACGUGCUGAUGGAGUGCAGCCGUCAAAUUGCAGACCCUGGAGCUUCACCUGGAUGUUUGUGUGAAUGAGCACCCUGUACCGUGUGUAAUUCCUGCGGUGACCGUGAGCGUCGUGUGUGCACAUGUAUGUUCAGUUGUCGUUUUGAGCAUGUUGCCAGGGUCCCGUCUAACCCAUGUUACCUACACAACUCUGCAGGUUGUUAGCUCCGAGCAACUGCUGAGUGAGAUUAUCACCUUCAGUACCUACAGGAGAGAUCAGUAAAGCUUGUCUCUGGAGGUACCAAUCUCAGUGGCCAAAAAAGGGGGCCUGUGAAUUUCGGCCUGUCGUAAAAGCAGCGGUGAGGAGAAGGCCUCUUUGGGGGUGCGCUAAUCCUCACCCCACAGAGGACCUGGCCCCGGGCAUGGUUGUGUGGGGGUAGCUUGCGUGCCAUGCUUCCGUGUCGUCCCAUCCACUCCAUCGUGGUCUGUGUCUGUGUCCUUCCCCUGGGAACAGUUUUAAGUGUUUUUUAUAUUGAAAACAAUUCACCACACAAUGGCUCUCCCUGGCAUGCGUGUCCUCUUCACUGGAGUGUGCGAGGCAGCCGUGGUUCCUGCAGAUACUAAUAGUAGCGGGAAUGAUGGGACUUCGUCCUGAGGUGGGGUCCUCAGAGGACAUUUCUGUACCUUACAGCAGGUGUCCACCUGCUCCUCUGCUGGGCUUUCCUCUGCCCCCCGAGCAGCGCCCCGAGCUCCGGCGAGACAGGCCAGGAGCCUUGAGUAACGGUGAAAGAAAAGUUGAUGUUAUUGUCUGCGUUUUGUUUGGCAGUUUGAUUUGACAGCUUGAGAGACUUCAGAGGUUCACUCUUUACCCAGUUGAGACUGUGGGGACCCGAAAGCAGGACGCUGAACACGGCUCUAGAUAAGGAGGGGCAGAUUUUCUGCAGC